rnacentral:rRNA from 1 species
GACGAACGCUGGCGGCGUGCCUAAUACAUGCAAGUCGAACGCAGUGGGGACGGGGGAGUAACACGUGGGUAACCUCCCAUCAGAGGGGAUAACACUUGGAAACAGGUGCUAAACCGAUACUGAUGGAUGGACCCGGGGUGCAUUAGCUAGUUGGUGGGGUAACGGCUCACCAGGGCCACGAGGCAUAGCCGACCUGAGAGGGUGAUCGGCCAAACUGGGACUGAGACACGGCCCAGACUCCUACGUGAGGCAGCAGUAGGGAAUCUUCGGCAAUGGACGAAAGUCUGAUCGAGCAACGCCGCGUGAGUGAAGAAGGUUUUCGGAUUGUAAAACUCUGUUGGUAGAGAAGCGGUAUCUGACCAGAAAGCCACGGCUAACUACGUGCCAGCAGCCGCGGUAAUUC